rnacentral:rRNA from 1 species
ACGGGAGGCAGCAGUGGGGAAUAUUGGGCAAUGGGCGAAAGCCUGACCCAGCAACGCCGCGUGAAGGAAGAAGGUCUUCGGAUUGUAAACUUCUUUUAUGUGGGACGAACAAAUGACGGUACCACAUGUAUAAGCCACGGCUAACUACGUGCCAGCAGCCGCGGUAAUACGUAGGUGGCAAGCGUUAUCCGGAUUUACUGGGUGUAAAGGGCGCGUAGGCGAGGAAGCAAGUCAGAUGUGAAAUCCAUGGGCUCAACCCAUGAACUGCAUUUGAAACUGUUUCUCUUGAGUGCUGGAGAGGUAGAUGGAAUUCCUAGUGUAGCGGUGAAAUGCGUAGAUAUUAGGAAGAACACCAGUGGCGAAGGCGAUCUACUGGACAGUAACUGACGCUGAGGCGCGAAAGCGUGGGGAGCAAACAGGAUUAGAUACCCUGGUA